rnacentral:tRNA from 1 species
GGGGCUGGGGCUCAGUGGUAGAGCACUUGCCUAGUAUGCGAGAGGCACUGGGUUCAAUCCUAGCACCA